GAUGAAGAACGCAGCGAAAUGCAAUAAGUAGUGUGAAUUGCAGAAUUCAGUGAAUCAUCGAAUCUUUGAACGCACAUUGCGCCCUUUGGUAUUCCAAAGGGCAUGCCUGUUCGAGCGUCAUUUGUACCCUCAAGCUUUGCUUGGUGUUGGGCGUCUUGUCUCUAGCUUUGCUGGAGACUCGCCUUAAAGUAAUUGGCAGCCGGCCUACUGGUUUCGGAGCGCAGCACAAGUCGCACUCUCUAUCAGCAAAGGUCUAGCAUCCAUUAAGCCUUUUUUUCAACUUUUGACCUCGGAUCAGGUAGGGAUACCCGCUGAACUUAAGCAUAUCAAUAAGCGGAGGA
rnacentral:misc_RNA from 1 species